UUUCUACUAUUAGAUUUAUUAGAAUUAUGUAAUUUGGUGUAUUGAGUUACCUGGUAAUUGUGCUGGUGGGAGGUAGUAGGUACUCGUGGAAUUAGUCGAGGUGUGUGUAAGCUGACCUGGACACCACGAGUAUUGAAAAAAGAAACGGAAUUCUGUUUGGUGGAUUUGAUUACCUGGUACCUAUGCUGGUGGGAGGUAGUAGGAGGUACCCUGUGGAACUAGUCGAGGUGCACGUGAGCUGAUUUUUUAUAGAUUUAUUGUGAUUAAACUUGAAUUCUGUUUGGUGGAUAGAGUUACCAGGUACCUGUGCUGGUGGGAGGUCGAGGUGCACGUGAGCUGAGUUUGUAUAGAUUUAUUGUGAUUAAUAUCUGGAAUUUUUGUAUGGUGGACUGAGUUAUCUAGUAUCUGUGCUGCUGGGAGGUAGUAGGUACCUAUGAAAUUAGUUGAGGUGCACGUGCGCUCAGCUUGUAUGCAGAGUUACCUGGUAUCUGUCUUUGGUGGGAGGUAGCAGGUACCUGUGGAAUUAGAUGAGGUAUGUGAGCUGAAUUUGUAUAAAUAUAUUGCGAUUAAACUGGAAUUUUGUGUGAUGGAUAGAGUUACCUGGUAUCCGUGCUAGCAGGAGGUAGUGGGUACUCGUGGAAUUAGGCGAAGUUCGCUUAAUCUAACCUAGACACCAUGGUUAUUGAAAAAAGAAAUGGAGUUCUGUUUGUUUUGACUGUUAACUGUAAUUGUUCGAGAGUCGCAUAAGAGAAUUCCCAUUUGUCUUAAAAGAUUAAUUAAUUGUCAGUACUUUGAAUAAAAUGUGGUGGAAUAGAGUGGAUACAUAGAGGAUUGGUAUUACCAAACUCAAUUAGUUGAGAUUGAGGCGAAAUUGAUUGAUUAAUUGUGUGGUUGGAAAUAUGUUUGAUUGUGGAUGGGAGCUGGGAACUCGAGGGUGAGCUAAAAGUGAGUUAGCGGGGAAAUACUGUUUAAGGUUUGAUCUAUGCAAGACGAAUUAUGGACUUCUUAUUUUGUUUCAUUUGAUGAGUAAAUCAUGGAGUUCUUAUUUGCCAGAAAGUAAGGCUUUUGGCCAGGGUGCUAUUUAAGCAUAAACUAGCUGACAAGCUUGAUUGAGGUCCUGCUGUUUUGGAUUCUGAGACUAGAUAUUACUUAUAAUUUGUGUUAGCUGCUCAACUCACCUAAUAUCCAAGUGAAUAGAGCGUUUCAAUUAACACCUUGCAAUAGUAGAAAGUAGAAACCUUUUAGGUUCUUCCGUUUAAGUAGCUCCCAGUGAUAAGUUACCUGUUUCAAAAAAAAAAAAAAAAAAAAAAAAGAAAAAAGAAAAAAAGUAGCUCCCAGU